AGAUAUAAUAUGUAUCCAAGUCAGAAGUCUGCAUUUAAGAAGUACUAAACACAAAUUGUCGAUGACUAGUUGCUAUAAUAGCUCAACAAGAAAAAGACUAAAUAUUUCUAAAUUGAUUUACAUAAAUAUGGUGUCUGUUUCGUCUCUUUGUAGCGUGUGUUUUCACAAAUGUAAUGGUCGAAAAUACGAUCGUUUAAAAGUUAUUACAUUGUUCCAUUGCAUCAAUUUUAUGGGAUCAUUUCCAUGUAUUAUAUCAAAGGAUCAUUGAUCCAUCGAUUCGAACAAUUACUUUCUUUGAGAAAUUUUUAUAAAUGAGACUUGAAUGCAAUAGUUACAACCCUAAUGUUCAUAUCAGAGAAUGUAAGAAUUCUCACCAUUCGUAAAUUUGAAUUCACGAGUUUUGUUUAAACAGGAUUUGCAAAAGCAGUUUUAUGUUGUAAUAAAAACACAUACUUUGUUUUGUCUAGAUGAGCAUGCAAGAAAUUGAAAAAUCUGAUUUUGUUACUCAUGAUUUACGAAUUUUUACCAAAUUAAAUGUAAUAAUUGAAAAGUGCAGGUAUGUGACCACUAAAAGAAUAUUUGUUUCAAAGUUAUUGCAAAAUGAAGAUUAUUGAUUUAGAAUAGAAUAUAUUCAAGUUGAUAAAAGAGACUUAAUUGAAGAAUGCAUGUUUAUAAUAGAUGUCCUCAGUCAAAACAUCAUAUUAACUUGCAAUGUUCCUGGAAAUUCUAAGCACAACACAUUUUGUCGAUUUACCGUGACCAAUUUCGUACAAUUACAUUUUUGAGAACACAAAUUAAUUUAUUCAUUUCAAGGUAAUUUCCAAUAAAAUUAAGUGUACUUAGUUUGUAUCCUUGUUAUUAUGGCCCCUUGCAGGGUCUCGCCAAAGUGACUGAUUCGCAGACUCUCCACAGAGAACAUGUUAAAUUGUUGAUGGUGAAAUUUUAGUUUGUAUAGAAUAUUGUUUUGUUUCCAUGACACUGUAUUAAAAUAUAUCACUUACCUCGAUUGCCACUAAAUAAGGACAGGACGACCAAAUUAUAUCUCGUUCAAAUACCGUCAAUUAUUU
rnacentral:lncRNA from 1 species